UAAUUUAUAGGUAAAUGAAUUUAACUAAAGUUAUUUUAUUUUUAAAAACAUUUAUAAAUAAAGUAAAGGUGAUUAAAAAUUAUUUUAAAUACAUUUUAGACUAAGUACUGUAGAGGAAUGUUAUUAAUUAUUAAUAAGAAAAAAUAAAAUUUUGUACCUUUUGUAUCAUGGUUUAACUAGAUAAUUCACUUUAUAUUUAAGUUUCUCGAAAUCUAAUGAGCUAUUUUUAUUCUUUAUAUUAGGAUAUGAAAGGUAAUUGUAGCAAAAAUUUCUGAAGAAAUAAAAAUAGAAACGAAAUUUUAUUCGCAUUAGAUGAUAGCUAGUUCCUUCAAAACGUAUAUAAGUACUAUAAAUAAUUUUUUUUUCUCUUACAUAGAGUGUAGGAUAGUCUUAUUUAAUCAAAUUUUUAGGAUAAGCUUAAAAAAUAAAUAUGUGUUAAUAUGUAUAUAAUUUUUCUAUAAAAUUUAAGCUUAAAAAUAGCUACAAUUUGAUUUUGUUACAAUUUCAUUAAAUUUAAAGAAAAAUGAUUUAUUUACUAUACUUUAAUGAAGGAAAAUUUUUAAAUUAGGAAAAAAUUAAAUUUAUGUUAAAAUGAGUAUAAGUUAAUAUAUGAUUAAUUUUAAAUAUAUUUAUAUUAAAAUUAAUUUAUUGUUUUUUAAUACAAAUUAUAAAAAGGAACUCGGCAAAACAUAUUCUGCCUGUUUAGCAAAAACAUGGCUCCUUGUCUUACUAAAAUAGGGAGUCGAGCCUGCCCAGUGAAUUUUUUUUAACGGCCGCAGUACUUUGACUGUGCAAAGGUAGCAUAAUCAUUUGCCUUAUAAUUGAAGGCUAGUAUGAAUGGUUUGACAAGAAUAUAACUGUCUCUUUAUAAUUUAAUAGAAUUUUUUUUAUAAGUGAAGAAACUUAUAUAUAAUUAAUAGACAAGAAGACCCUAUCGAGCUUAAAAAAAAUUGAUAGAUGGACUAUUUAUAAGAUUAAAAAAUUAAUUUUAAAGAUUUUGGUUGGGGCGACUGAGGAACAAAAAAAGCUUCCUUUAUUUUUAAAUACAAACAAGUAUUGAUCCAAAAUAUGUUUUGAUUAAAGAAAUUAGUUACCGUAGGGAUAACAGCAUUAUCUUUUUUGAGAGUACUUAUCGAAAAAAAGGUUUGUGACCUCGAUGUUGGACCAGAAUAACCUAAAGAUGCAGCAGUCUUUAAGGGUUGGUCUGUUCGACCAUUAAAAUUCUACGUGAUCUGAGUUCAGACCGGCGUGAGCCAGGUCAGUUUCUAUCUUUA
rnacentral:rRNA from 1 species